GUCACUUAAACUGUUUUCUUUUUCACGUAAUUUGAAAUACACGUGCAGAAAUGGCGUUUAAAAAAGUAAUCGCUGUACAAGUCGACAGUUUGAAAUUUUGAUAAAAUUUAUGGAAGACAAUCCGAAAUUAAUUUCGGGGAAACUCAAUCCGUCUUUCAAUAUCAAAAGAAGACAGGAACUCUGGAACGAAUUAUCCGAAUUAUUAAAUUCCGAUGGCAUGGGACCUCAGAAAGAUCCAGAUAAAUGGCGAAAGGUACUAUUACUUUUGAAAUUUACUUAUAUUCAAUAAAUAUUGAUACAAAAAGCUUUAAAUAUUUUUUUAUGAAUUAAUAUUUUCUAAAAUUGCUUUCAUUAUUAUUGUUUAAAUCUUUGAUGGCAUUUUUUUACAUUAAAUUAUUAUUUCAAUAUACACUAUCAUACAACUAUGUGAUUAUUAAAAUAUUUUAAAUUUCAUUUUUAUAGUUAUUGUAUUCAUUUUCAAUAUUAAUUCUUUACUCUAUAUUUUAACAAUAGACAUGGGUUGACUGGAAGAGCAAUGUAACGUCAAAAGCAUUGCAAAUUAAAAAAAGAACAAAGUAAAACUGGUGGUUGCCCCAAUCAGAAUAUAAAUUAAUUUCAACAGAAGAAAAAUUAUUAAAUAUGGUUGGUUGGGUUAAUGUUGAAGGAAACAGCUGUAUAGAAGAAGGAGGAUUAGGAAUUCAGGCAAUAUCAGGACAAAUAUCAAAUGAUGAAGAUAUUCCGACCACUUCAGUUUACAGUGUUUUAUCAUUAGAGUGUCAUGAAAGAAAUGUCAAUGCUGCAUCCUUUAGGGCUCCAGAAAAUUUUCCAACUGAAGAAAUAGUGACUUCACAUAAAUAGAAAAAGAAGAAAAGACACUAGUGAAAAAGUAAUAGCUGAUAUCCUAAAAGAAACAGAAAGUGAAAAAGUAGAAGCAUUAAAAAGAAUGACAGUGGCAUUGGAAAAAUCAGCAGAAGCUGAAGAAAAAAAAAGCAAAGGCUCUUCAAGACAUUACAGAAUAUUUUAAGUUAUAUUUUAAAAAAGAUUACAUAUAUAUAUAUAUAUAUAUAAUGGCUUGCCAG
rnacentral:lncRNA from 1 species